AGAGAGAGACAUGCGCGCAUAUCAAUAAGCGGAGGAAAAGAAACUAACAAGGAUUCCCUUAGUAACGGCGAGUGAAGCGGGAAGAGCUCAAAUUUGAAAUCUUCAAGGUUCUACCUUGACGAAUUGUAGUUUAUAGAAGUGUUUUCUGUUAGUGGAGUGGCAAAAGUUCUUUGGAAUAGGACAUCAUAGAGGGUGAGAAUCCCGUAUUUGGUCAUUCCUCCUAGCGUUGUGAUACACUUUCAACGAGUCGGAUUGUUUGGGAAUGCAGUCCAAAAUGGGUGGUAAAUUUCAUCUAAAGCUAAAUAUUGGCGAGAGACCGAUAGCGAACAAGUACCGUGAGGGAAAGAUGAAAAGAACUUUGAAAAGAGAGUUAAACAGUACGUGAAAUUGUCAAAAGGGAAGCGUUUGACACCAGUGUUGUUUUUCCGAAAAUCAAUUACGUAUGUUUUAUUUUUGAGGAGUUAUGACUUCAUCGGCUUGCUCCUUUCUUUACGAAACUUUCUUAAUGCACUUUUCGGUUAACAAGUCAACAUCAAUUUCUUUUGUUGUAAAAGGGUAUGAGGAAGGUGGCUUUCUUUUCGGAGAAAGUGUUUAUAGCCUUGUAGCCUCUGCAAUCGGAGAGAUUGAGGUCUGCAGCGUAGAUCCUUCGGGGUUAGAUACAUUUGUGCUAAGUUAUAGCUUUUCAUAGACAACUUGUUGACUAUGUUUGGUCUUGUAGCUUACUCGCUUACUGCUAUUUUACCUACGCUUAGGAUGUUGAUAGUCACAGCGUGUAC
rnacentral:rRNA from 1 species